rnacentral:miRNA from 1 species
AUUGAUAGUUGAGGUGUGUUU